GUUCGAUUCUUCGGCUUCGUCUAUUAUUUACAAGUUUUGACGUUGAUGCGUCUCUUAUCAGAUUUAAUUGUGAUCGAUUGUGUACUGUAAUUGCGAUUCGGACAUGAUUUUCUGCCCGGAGAAAAUUGCGAUGGAAACACGGAACCAAACCGAAUUCCAUCGAAAUAUAAUUCAAAAAAAAAAAGGAAAACACCCAAAUUGAUGGGCUGAUUUUAUAUUUGCUGCUGUUGGCUACUUCCAUGUAGCAAUGAUGAUGAUGCAUCGACCUGUAAUGGCGAUCUGAAAAACCUUAAAAAAUAAAAGGGCGUCAUCAGUUUCAAAAUUCAAAAGGCCAUAGGUGUCGCCAAGUCUAUCCAAAAACCCAUCCGCCCUAUAUCCAUGUGUGCAGCUAUCAUAUAAAUAGCCCAAACAAUUUAACGAUCUCUUUCUCUCUCUUUUGUCGCGUUUGACGACGUCCUUUGUGAAAAUUUAUUGGCCACUCUUUUAUUCUCCUUCUUCUAUUGUUUCUUUCUUAAGGUUCUGCUUCUUUUGUUUUGCGACCAUAAACAGAAAAAAUAACCAACCGAAUUGGACACGUGCCAAUCUUCUUUUGCUGUUGUUGCUCUCUCAGUCGAUAUCUUUUUUUGGCUUUGAUUCAAGGACUCUGCUCUGGUCGGCUAUCGCACUCUACUUUGCAUACAUCAGACACACAAUGCAUUUCGCCUAUCUCCUGUUCCAUUUUUCUACAAAUUUUCCGGUUAAUUAUUGAUUAAAAAAUAAACCAGAAAAGAAGUGCGUGAUUAUUUAAAUGAAGAGCUAUAGACGCAACGGCGGCUCGUUUUAUUCAAAUAUAAUUAGAGCCGAGUGUAGGUAAUAAUCAACAGCAGCCUUAAGUGCAUGUACACUGGGCGGUAUCUCCUUUAUGUGUGUGUGUGUGUAUACACUGAGCCUUUUAAUCAUGAAGACGUAAUGGACUAAUAACAUGCGAAAAUUCUUGGCUGAUGAGCAAAUCACGCCAAACAACAGCCAAAUUGUUUACCGAUGAUGUAACGUGUACAAGUUGUUGUCCCUGUGUGUUGCGUCCAUCAUAUCGCCAUACAUGGUCUUGGAUUUUUGGGUGGAAUUUCCACCUUUGGAUCAGCACAGAGUAUCAUAGAAAAAAGAAGAAUAGAUGUUCAAAACCUGUGAGACUGGCUCGAUUAUUUAUUCGGUGAUAAUCCAUCACUUUAGGGGGAAAUUCUUCCAAUCUCCAAGGGUUGUUGAUGCAAUGCCCUCUGGCACAUCUCGAUAUGGCGGUACUGUGUGAAUACAGAGAUUAGGUACUACACCAUCUGAUCUUAAUCAUCCGCUAUGUAGUGUAACAUCUUAUGUGAAUAUAAUUUCUGUAAAAUUCUAGUUAAGUCUGUUCUACCGUUAUAAUUCCUCCAUUUGAUAUAGAAAUAAUAACCAUUUGAUUGGAUUCUUUUGGGGGCCACAAUUACCUUUCAAUCACCGGCAAUGAUCCAUCAAUAAUCUAUAAGAAACACGGGAGACUCGCCCCACAAUGGGGAGGAUUCUCAUUCCACAACAAUAUAACAAUGCACCAAGCUGUUAUGUAUAGCGUAGAAGAAUAUCAAUUU
rnacentral:lncRNA from 1 species